CACUAAUGGCCCAACCAGACCCACCAGUAGCAGUGGCUACAUUUUAUCCCACAGCAACCUCGGCAGUGAAGUCCCUGACUAGGCCACCAGCAGCCCCAACUGGACCAUCAACAUCUGGACCCCAUUCCUCAGUGGGAACUCCAGCAGCCCCAGUUUCUUUAGAAAAAGAUGACAUUGUGGAAGAAGGCUGUUCAGCUCCCAGUGCAGUGCUGCGACGGAAGAGGAAAGAAUGCCCACAUACAGUGUCAGGGAGCCAAGAUUUCUACCCUGUGAAGAGGGUUGCCAAAUGCAAAGUUGGAGUGGGAGCCGUGCAAACUCUGUGGAAAGGACUGGCCUUUGGAGUGGGUGCCGGAGAAAGACACCACUUUCUAAUGUUGCCAAAGUGCAGAACGGACUGCAGUGCCCUUGUGUUUGUCAUGUUGUUUUAUUUGUUUGUUCUUCACUGUCGCCAAUUAUUGCCACUUGAAGCAAUGAGUGUUCAUUUGCAGUACUUUUUAAUAAAUAAUACCAAAUGAAGUCUUCUUAAAUAUCACUGGUACAUUGCUCUUCGAGAUAAUACUAUGGGAAGGCUGGCUCUGUAAUUGGAGCCAAGAUGGAUUCAGGGGGAUGUGGUGGAGAGAUACACAAUGAAGACGAUGGAGGCCAUCCUGAACAACACGGCUCAACCACUUAACACCUUGAUGGACCAAAGAAACAACAGGCUCCUCUAUCUCCACUGAAGGACUCAUACAGGAGAUAUUAUGUACCUAGUCAUCAGGCUUUACACUCCUUUGAUCAAAAGAUGAGCUGAUAGACAUUUGAAUUUCCCUUUGGGGAUGAAUAAAGUAAUUCUUAUCUAAUACAUGUAUCAUUCUAAUUCAUGAUAUCUACAUUUGGUCAAAUAUAUAAGUACAUUCUUCACACUCUUGUCUGUAUAAAAACAUUCUGGCCAUACUAUACUAUGAUUUGCUCUGAUAUGAUUAAAUGAUUAAAAAGUCCUCCAACCCAAACGAACAUAUAGGUUGCAACAUCUUUACUUUUUAUUAACAAAGAUCAUCUAUAUGUAAUGCAAUUAUUAAUUCGACUGUAGUAGAUAUUUAAUAUAUUUAACAAAUAUAUCAUUUUACGACCAUAUGUCACGUCACAACUUCGCAACUGGGAAGAACUACCGUCCACAAAACGCCAUUUCUACAAUACUACCUAAGAUAGCAGAAAUAAAGCAACAUCUUUACUUAUCUCCACACAGAUCAUCUAUAUACUAGUAGUUACUAGUUCAGCUCUACCAGAUAUUUGAUAUAUUCAGUAAAAAAAUCGUUUCAUAUCCGUAUUUCACAAACCCAAUUUACGACCCAAAAGUACCGCCCCCAAAACGCAAUUUCUAAGAUAUUAGUGAUAAUAGAAGCAAU
rnacentral:lncRNA from 15 species